GGCAGUCGCGGGAUCGCCUGCGCGCCGGUUAUUUGGUUUGCGAGUUCUCGAACCGCACUUUCCAACUGCGAGAUGCAAUGGUGGUAAUCUUUGCUGAGCUUCGUUCAAGGUUCAACACGUUUUCACUGAGAGAUUUACAAGUCUCCGAUAACGGCAAUCACGGCGCACGGGUUAUCGGUACUUAUAACUGUAAUACCAUCAUUCGUCGUUCGUUCGGUCGUCAGCACCACCCGGCAGAUUCAAAAACGAAAACGGCAUUUAAAGAAAAUCUAUUUUCAUAAUACCUAGUGCAAUUAAUAGAGCAUCUACGCCAUGAACAGGUCUAUAACAGAUGAAAAUAGUGAAAUAAAACGGCCUCUUAAUCCAAGAUCUAAUGCAAAUACAUUUGAAAUCAUUACUUAUAGGU